ACUGUGAGUUGCGAACGGGUGAGUAACGCGUAGGUAACCUGCCUGGUAGCGGGGGAUAACUAUUGGAAACGAUAGCUAAUACCGCAUAAUAUUAAUUAUUGCAUGAUAAUUGAUUGAAAGAUGCUAUUGCAUCACUACCAGUAUGGACCUGCGUUGUAUUAGCUAGUAGGUGAGGUAACGGCUCACCUAGGCGACGAUACAUAGCCGACCUGAGAGGGUGAUCGGCCACACUGGGACUGAGACACGGCCCAGACUCCUACGGGAGGCAGCAGUAGGGAAUCUUCGGCAAUGGACGAAAGUCUGACCGAGCAACGCCGCGUGAGUGAAGAAGGUUUUCGGAUCGUAAAGCUCUGUUGUAAGAGAAGAACGGGUGUGAGAGUGGAAAGUUCACACUGUGACGGUAUCUUACCAGAAAGGGACGGCUAACUACGUGCCAGCAGCCGCGGUAAUACGUAGGUCCCGAGCGUUGUCCGGAUUUAUUGGGCGUAAAGCGAGCGCAGGCGGUUAGAUAAGUCUGAAGUUAAAGGCUGUGGCUUAACCAUAGUACGCUUUGGAAACUGUUUAACUUGAGUGCAGAAGGGGAGAGUGGAAUUCCAUGUGUAGCGGUGAAAUGCGUAGAUAUAUGGGAGGAACACCGGUGGCGAAAGCGGCUCUCUGGUCUGUAACUGACGCUGAGGCUCGAAAGCGUGGGGAGCGAACAGGAUUAGAUACCCUGGUAGUCCACGCC
rnacentral:rRNA from 1 species